AGAGUUUGAUCCUGGCUCAGGAUGAACGCUAGCGACAGGCUUAACACAUGCAAGUCGAGGGGCAGCGGGGCGUGGCAACAGCCGCCGGCGACCGGCGCACGGGUGAGUAACACGUAUGCGACCUGCCCGCCACAGGGGGAUAACCGGGAGAAAUCCCGACUAAUACCGCGUAAGCCUUCGGGGGGCAUCCCCCCGGAGGUGAAAGCCACGGCGGUGGCGGAUGGGCAUGCGGGGCAUUAGCUAGACGGCGGGGCAACGGCCCACCGUGGCGACGAUGCCUAGGGGUUCUGAGAGGAAGGUCCCCCACACUGGUACUGAGACACGGACCAGACUCCUACGGGAGGCAGCAGUGAGGAAUAUUGGUCAAUGGGCGGGAGCCUGAACCAGCCAAGUCGCGUGAGGGAUGAAGGUCCUAUGGAUUGCAGACCUCUUUUGCCGGGGAGCAACGUGCGCCACGCGUGGCGCAGUGAGAGUACCCGGAGAAAAAGCAUCGGCUAACUCCGUGCC
rnacentral:rRNA from 1 species